UGUGUGUGUGUGUGCGUGCUGGUGGUGUAAAUUUUUAAAGCAGUGAAGUAACUUUUCACAUCAACAUGAUUUUUGGCACAAGUCUCAUUUUCUGACAAAUCCUUC